AUUGAACGCUGGCGGAAUGCUUUACACAUGCAAGUCGAACGGUAGAGGGGGCAACCCCUUGAGAGUGGCGAACGGGUGAGUAAUAUAUCGGAACAUGCCCAGUCGUGGGGAUAACGUAGCGAAAGUUACGCUAAUACCGCAUACGAUCUAAGGAUGAAAGCGGGGGACUCGCAAGAGCCUCGCGCGAUUGGAGCGGCCGAUAUCAGAUUAGGUAGUUGGUGGGGUAAAGGCUCACCAAGCCAACGAUCUGUAGCUGGUCUGAGAGGACGACCAGCCACACUGGAACUGAGACACGGCCCAGACUCCUACGGGAGCGAGCAGGUAGGGUAAGUUUUGGAACAAGUCGGGCGACGAA
rnacentral:rRNA from 1 species